CUGCGAGUGAAGCGGGAAAAGCUCAAAUUUAAAAUCUGGCGGUCUUUGGUCGUCCGAGUUGUAAUCUAGAGAAGUGUUACCCGCGCUGGACCGUGUACAAGUCUCCUGGAAUGGAGCGUCAUAGAGGGUGAGAAUCCCGUCUCUGACACGGACUACCAGGGCUUUGUGGUAUGCUCUCAAAGAGUCGAGUUGUUUGGGAAUGCAGCUCAAAAUGGGUGGUAAAUUCCAUCUAAAGCUAAAUAUUGGCGAGAGACCGAUAGCGAACAAGUACCGUGAGGGAAAGAUGAAAAGAACUUUGGAAAGAGAGUUAAACAGUACGUGAAAUUGCUGAAAGGGAAACGCUUGAAGUCAGUCGCGUUGGCCGGGGAUCAGCCUCGCAUUUGCGUGGUGUACUUUCCGGUUGACGGGUCAGCAUCAAUUUUGACCGCUGGAAAAAGGCUUGGGGAAUGUGGCAGCUCCGGCUGUGUUAUAGCCCCUUGUCAUAUACACCGGUUGGGAUUGAGGAACUCAGCACGCCGCAAGGCCGGGUUUCGACCACGUUCGUGCUUAGGAUGCUGGCAUAAUGGCUUUAAGCGACCCGUCUUGAAACACGGACCAAGGAGUCUAACAUGCCUGCGAGUGUUUGGGUGGAAAACCCAAGCGCGUAAUGAAAGUGAAAGUUGAGAUCCCUGUCGUGGGGAGCAUCGACGCCCGGACCAGAACUUUUGGGACGGAUCCGCGGUAGAGCAUGUAUGUUGGGACCCGAAAGAUGGUGAACUAUGCCUGAAUAGGGUGAAGCCAGAGGAAACUCUGGUGGAGGCUCGUAGCGAUUCUGACGUGCAAAUCGAUCGUCAAA
rnacentral:rRNA from 1 species